AUCAGGUGGAUAAAUUGAAGUUACCCAAUAUGUAUUGAUGAUAGGGGCUAUGCUCAGAAACCAAAAGUUUUUAAUUUAAUUUAAUUUAAUUUAAUUUAAUUUAAUUUUAUUUUAUUUUAUUUUUAUUAUUAUUUUUUUUAGUUACAAACAGACAAUCCCAUUUCAUCCGUUAUUAGUCCAUUAUCACAAGUGAGAUGCUAGACCAAGAUAGCACAAUUAACAAUAUGGAAACUUAUCAGAUUUAAUGACGGUGUAUUUUGAAACAGAGGUCCAGAGGUCACCCAUGCUAGGAAAAAAAAAGUCAAAUUCACCCUCAAGAUAUGAUGCUAUUAGGUAGAAAUAUAUUAGAUUGUUUUCACCAACUAGCAAAGGAGAAAAAAUACAUCUGCAGUGCUAGCAUUUAUAUCUACUUGCAUGCUUGUGUCUUUCAGUUCCUUGUCAGUGAUGCUGGAGGAGUCGAACUCCCGUUGCUACUCAGGCGACAGAGGCUAACCCUGGAUGACUUAAAUAGGAGGAGAGGAGUACUUGAAUUCAGAGCCCUGAUGGAAGACUGGAGAACAGGUUGAGACAAGUUCAGGAGCCAAGGGAGAGGGCUUUUCAUGUGACUGCAUGCAUGGUGAAUCUCCAGGAGGGAUUAUAGGACCCCCCCCCCAUCAUCCGAUUGCGACAAGGUAAAAGCACGGAAUCCAACAACCAAACAGCCAGUGACCUUGAAGCCAUAGGCAGCAUAGGAAACCGCUCCUAUCUGUAUUCAUCGAUGAUGCCUAAACUUUAGAUCGGAGUCAUAUUUAAUUUGAAAAGAUUGGGAAGCUGAAGACCAUAUCUUCACGUGCAAAUCCCAGCCUUGGCUCUCUGGCCAAUAGAGGUAAAUACAAGUCACAUGCUUGACUGAAAUCAGCACUGAAGUUGAGCUUUCUAAAAAGUUUCAUUAUUUAAUGUUUCUUUUUUCAAGCGUCCGUACUUAUGACUUUCUUGUUAUCCUUCAACAUUUGUAAAAUAGAAAGCUAACACCAUGAGAUAGAGACAUUCAUUGAAACAAAAAUCUUUUUGGGGUCUACCGUGUGAAAGGCCUGUGCUAGAUAUAAGGGGUAAACUCAUGAGUUAGACGUAUUUCCUGCCUUUAAGAGCUUUUACCUAGACUGUGAAUUGGUUUAUUUAUUUAAAAGACUUUUUUUCAGGCCGACUAUGAUCUAGGCACUGUGCUAGGAGCUCAGAUAAAGCUGUGAACAAGAAAAUAAAAGUUUCUAUUCUUUGGCACAUAGAUGCAGUGGGGGAGCCCAAUAUUAAAUCGCACAGCACAUAUUUAUUCAUUGAAUCAUUCUUGCCAUCAGAGCCACAAAGCCUUAGACCAGAAUAAGCCUGUGAGGAUAUGAUGGAACGCAUUCUCUCGGGAAGUGGCCUGUGAGCUGUGCUCUGAAGGAUGAACAGGAAUAAACGUUAUGGAGAUAUGGUUGGAGGGAGCGAGACGAGAAAUAAGAGUUUUAGAACAGGAUAGAGUUUUGCUGGUACCAGAGGCAGGGUGGCCUGACCAAGCAGGGCCUUGGAGACCGUGGGAAAGUUUCAGUCUUCAUGCUAAAUGCAAUGGGAAGACAUGGGGCAGAUUUCCUCAGGGAAGGAAUGUAAUCAGACACGCACUCUAGAAAAGUUACUCUGGUCAUGCAUAUUGAAUGGCUUGCAAGGGCAGUAAUGGAGGCAGAAAUACCAGCUAGAAGGUUGGUCUAGUAAUGCAAGGGGAAAAUGCUGGUAGGUUCAACUAGGGUAGGUGUGGGAGAAUGAUGCUGAGAGGUGUAUAGAUACAAGAGAUAUAAAUGAGUCCCAAACAACAGAACUUGAUGCUUAAUUGGAUGUGGGAGUUAUUUAGGAGAAAGUCAGGUAAAUUGCCAAAUGCAAUACGGUAUGCUAAAUGCUCUAAGAGACUAUAGAGGCAUCUGGCCUGUUGCUGGGUAUAAACAAAUGUAUAUGCAGAAAACCCCACAAAGGACCUCAAGUCAUAUAUAAUGUAUUUGAAGAGGCUAGAUGUAAAUGCUGAAAAGUUAGCUCAUAAUCAAGGCACUAAAUGCCAGUCAUCACAGGUGUGAUACAGGCACUAUGGUUUGUUGGUGUUCCCAGGUCAGUUGUGGAUAGAGGUAGCCAGGGAAAGCUUCAUGCAAUAGGCGCAAUGAGCUGGGCUUGGGCAAAGAAAGAAAGAACAAUCCUGGUGGAGAGAACACACAGAAGAGGGGGAGGAGGAAGUAAGGAUAGACAUAACAUAUUUAGAGAGUACCAAAUAGACCAGUUGUAUCAAAAUGGGAGAUUUGGGGGGAAAGAAAAAUUUGGAAAAGAUAAAAUUGGAAGUAUAGGUUAGGGGAAGCAAGGGGUUGCAGAAUUAUAUGCAAAAUUCAUAAAUACUGAUUCACAGCUGGAUUGUCAUGAGUAAGCUGUAAAUCUCCAGCACUAGGAAGAGCUCAAGUUCUCGGUCUCCUUGUGCCUUUUCUACAAUGAAAUCUCCGUCCCCCUGCCCCGCCCCAGCUUUAUUGAGAUGUGAUUGACAUACAGCAUCGUGCCACUUGAAUGGGCAAAACGUGUUGAUCUGAUGCUGGAUCAACUGGAACUGGCUAGCCAACACCCUCAUCAGGUCACAUAACUAAUGUUUCUUUUUGCGGUGAGAACAUUUAAAAUUCACUCUCUUAGCAACUUUCAAAUGUAUACUACCCAUUGAGUACUCUUGGCUCCCCUGUCAAAUAUUACUUGACUAUACAUGCCAGGAUUUAUUUCUGGGCUCUUGAUUUUGUUCGAUCCAUCUAUGUGUUUAUUUU